rnacentral:rRNA from 1 species
UCCCCUCCUUUUCUCAGCAGUGGGGAAUAUUGCACAAUGGGGGAAACCCUGAUGCAGCAACGCCGCGUGAGUGAAGAAGUAUUUCGGUAUGUAAAGCUCUAUCAGCAGGGAAGAAGAUGACGGUACCUGACCAAGAAGCCCCGGCUAACUACGUGCCAGCAGCCGCGGUAAUACGUAGGGGGCAAGCGUUAUCCGGAUUUACUGGGUGUAAAGGGAGCGCAGACGGCAGUGCAAGUCUGGAGUGAAAGCCCGGGGCCCAACCCCGGAACUGCUCUGGAAACUGUGCGGCUA